UUUGUGCACGUGAAGAAUUGCACACAUUCAGUGGCAGCCACCAUGCUCAUGGCGAGGGGAACCCCAGCUAAUCCAGCUCACGACUUUUUCGCCAAGAGGAUUAGUGAUGUCCCAUGGUCUGUAGAUGAGCUGUGGGGGAGGAAGAGCUAAAGGCAAAGCUGAGGCAGGUCACCGCAUGCGCUUGGACACGCUCCAGGGUUGACUUCGUAACUGCAGGGACAGCACAAAGCCUCCAAAAAUGUUCUGGCCAGCAUCCUCCCAUAUUGCCUCCUCUGUCAUGGUGCCAGUCAUCAAACCGAUGGUCAUGAUCCAAGAGACACCGACUUCAGUGACUUGUCUGCCACAUGAAGGAUGAACACCACUGCCUCGUUGUCCUGCAUGGCUCUUCUGGAGCUCCCUAUCACACAGAGAUCAUUGCCAGCAUAUGGAGGAAGGAGAGGAGCAAAUACUGUUACCAAACCAACCUACGAAUAUAAGAAGACAGGUCAAUACUGUUUUUGGAAGCAAACACACCCAAUAUAGAUGUUCAUGCUGAAGCUUUGGCAAGAUGUACCACAUCACUGUGGGAGCUAGAACUCCUCAACUUGGAGUCCUCAAGAGCAGCCUUUAUUCAUGUGCAGGAGCCGAAUUGUUACCUGGUUCACUAACACUGAUUUCCAUGGCUUUGUGAUGACUUACCACAGCUGAGCAUCUUGUCCAAUUUCUGUCACAGCUAU